GGAGGAUGCAAGCGUUAUCUGGAAUUAUUGGGCGUAAAGCGUCCGCAGGUGGUGUUUCAAGUCUGCUGUCAAAGACCGAGGCUUAACUUCGGGCAGGCGGUGGAAACUGAAACACUAGAGUACGGUAGGGGUAGAGGGAAUUUCCAGUGUAGCGGUGAAAUGCGUAGAGAUUGGAAAGAACACCAGUGGCGAAGGCGCUCUACUGGACCGUAACUGACACUCAGGGACGAAAGCUAGGGUAGCGAAAGGGAUUAGAUACCCCUGUAGUCCUAGCUGUAAACGAUGGAUACUAGGCGUUGCUUGUAUCGACCCGAGCAGUGCCGUAGCCAACGCGUUAAGUAUCCCGCCUGGGGAGUACGCACGCAAGUGUG
rnacentral:rRNA from 1 species